AGAUAGGAAACAGGUGUGCGUUUGAUUAACUCGGCUUUAAAUGCGAACACGGUCACUCACAGCCGACAGGACUCUUACUAAGUAGGCUACUGUAAAACAACUUGUUGGGGGCCAGCAUGUUUUUCUGCGUUUAUCUGGUAUUUUUUGUGUCAUUUGGUCGUGUUUUAAUCGCAGAACAACUGAUAACCGGUCAGCCACGAGAUGUCCUAGUAAACAACACCAAGGUUUUGAAUGCAGCACGGUUUGCUGUGGUUGAGUUCAACAGAGCAAACGCAGAGCAUCAGUUUGACUACAAAAUUGUGAACAUAACUUCGGCGAAAAUUCAGGUGGUCGCGGGACUGAACUACAUCCUGGAUGUGCUGCUUGGACGUACCAUGUGCAAGAUUGACAGCUCGCCAUGUGUUUACGACUCUGACUCUGGACCCGAGGCAAGUUCAAGAAAUAAGUGCUGCAAAGCCCUCAGAAAGUAGAGCAACCCCGAAAGUGACGCAUAAUAUUGAGUGCCUGCUUUAUUUUCAUGCCCUGGUGCAGUUUGUCAUUAUGGAAAAUUUUACAAGGAUGCGCUAAUUUUUCAUUUAUUUCAGGAACUUCAGUGCCACUUCAUCGUUACAGAUAUCCCCUGGGAACAUUUGCGGACUCUUUCUGUGAAGAAAUGUGACUGAUUCUGCUUCUGAUGCCUAGUAAACAUUAAUUCGCAUACUAAUCAGUGUUAUGGUGUGUUCAUCCCAAAAACCAGGUAGACUUGCUCACAACUGUUUUUGAACACCCUAUAUGUUAAAAACAACAGGGGACUAAUUUCUCUCUGAUACGCCACUUACAGAGUGUUGUAAAAGUUCCCCUGACCUGCACUCACUCACUCUGCAUUGUGUAGGGUUAAAAAACGGCAUAAUUAUUCCAGUGAGUGACUGGGGGCAGCUCUAGUGUGCCUCAUCUCUCAGUGUGUGUCCUGGCAGCUGUGUAAGGCUCUGGUUGCGUGUCAAGCUUGGUCAGACACAUGGCUGCUAAACGGAGACGAGGCUACACCUCUCCCCACUACAAUCACGGUCUCCAGAAGGGCUCUGUAUGGAGGAUUACAGGCAUUUUCAGAUUACUGCUCAGCAAGACUGAACUGUCUGCUCCUCUGACCCCCUUUUUUUUAUGGAGGGAAAUGGGCAGCUCACUGAUAAACACACACAGCACAGGAGGGGAGGGGGGGGAAUUAUGUCAAAUAGGCUACUGUAUGUAUCUGAUGUGUAAUAGGGUGCAGCUUGGCUUAGGGCAGUAGUGUGUGUGUAUAUAUAGAUAUAGUACAGAUAUUUGAUCUGGUUUAAUUUCAUGGUUUUUCCCCGUAACAUAUCAUUCACCACACUUUCAGAAAAUAAUAAAGUAAUAUUAUUGAAGUGGUUAAAACGGUUGAGUGGCAAUAGGGUUAAAGGUCCGUCUGUUUAGCGUUGCUUACAGUAAACAAGCGUGUGAGUAAGCGGCUCACACACACCCACUCUCUCACCCAGCCCAUAAUGUCUCUAAUCAUGAAUGUCUUAAUCAAACUGAGCAAAACAUAAAGAAUUGGCUGGCACUGUG